UGUGUGCUGGAUCUGGUUUCAUC
rnacentral:miRNA from 1 species